CUCCGUUCCAACACUACCCAGGGCGGUCUCUGUGAUCUAACACGCUUCGAGACGGCCUCUCUCCCUCUCUCUCUCUCUCUCUCUCUCUCUCCGCUCCAAAUUUUUACCAAACCCUAACCCUUUUCUUCCCCAAUAUCAACCCCGAUUCCAUCCAGUCUUAUCUAGUUUCCGCUGAAUCGAGGCAUCGGAUCCCCGUCCUUUCGUUUUUCCCCAAACCAAAAUCUUCCAUUUCGGCCAUGUGAGCUGAGCAAUAUAAUGAUCGGAUUUUUGGACUCUGAUGCCUAUUGUAUGGAUUUGAGCAAUGCCGGAGCUUCGCAGAGGAGUCCGCCGAGGCCGUGCUAAGGUCGCGCACAAGCGAUCGGAGCCCCCGGUUGGAAACUACGUGAAGACCCGUGCCGCGGUCGCCAGGGCAAAGAAGUUGAAGCUAGAGAAGGAGGAGGAGGAGGAGGAACAGCUGCAGCAGGUGAUUGUGAUUUCCGAGAGGGAUAGUGGUUCGGAGGAGAAGAAAGGAAAGAAGGCUGUUGGUAAGGAAGACAAGGGUGCGAUGGCUGAUGAUAGUGGCGGUUUGAGUGCCAAUAAGGCCGCUGGGCAAGAGGAAGAGGGCAGCACCGCCCCUUUUCCCGAGAAGGUCACAGUGGGAGGAUCACCCAUAUAUAAAAUAGAGAGAAAAUUGGGCAAAGGUGGGUUUGGUCAGGUAUUCGUUGGUCGACGUGUUUCAGGUGGAACUGAACGCUCCACAGGUCCUGGGCUUUGGAGGUAGCUCUGAAAUUUGAGCAUAGAAACAGCAAAGGCUGCAACUAUGGCCCACCAUACGAGUGGCAAGUUUACAACACUCUUGGUGGUAGUCAUGGAGUGCCUAAAGUACACUACAAAGGGAGGCAAGGAGACUAUUAUGUGAUGGUUAUGGAUAUGCUAGGUCCCAGCUUGUGGGAUGUAUGGAAUACUUCAGGACAGGCGAUGUCAUCCGAAAUGGUUGCUUGUAUAGCAGUCGAGUCCUUAUCAAUUCUAGAGAAGAUGCAUGCGAGAGGUUAUGUCCAUGGUGAUGUAAAGCCAGAGAACUUUUUACUUGGCCAGCCAUCUACGGCACAGGAGAAGAAGUUGUUCCUUGUUGACCUUGGAUUAGCAACAAAGUGGAGAGAUAGCUCGAAUGGACAGCAUGUUGAAUAUGAUCAACGUCCUGAUAUGUUCAGAGGAACUGUUCGAUAUGCUAGUGUUCAUGCUCACUUGGGAAGAACUGCUAGUAGAAGAGAUGAUCUUGAGUCUCUUGCAUAUACACUCAUUUUUCUCCACAGAGGCAGGUUGCCGUGGCAAGGCUAUCAGGGUGAUAACAAAUCGUUUCUAGUUUGCAAAAAAAAGAUGGCAACGUCUCCUGAAAUGCUAUGCUGCUUCUGCCCGCCACCUCUUAAGCAAUUUCUUGAGAUUGUGGUGAACAUGAAAUUUGAUGAGGAGCCUAACUAUGCCAAGCUAAUAUCUUUAUUUGAGGGCUUAAUUGGGCCUAAUCCAGCUUUAAGGCCAAUAAGCACCGAUGGUGCUCAAAAGGUUGGUCAAAAACGAGGUAGGUUGAAUAUUGAGGAAGAAGAUGAUGGGCAGCCCAAGAAGAAAGUGCGUUUAGGAGUCCCUGCUACACAGUGGAUUUCAGUUUACAAUGCUAGGCUUCCAAUGAAACAGAGGUACCAUUAUAACGUAGCUGAUGCAAGGCUGGCGCAACAUGUGGAGAGAGGAAUUGCAGAUGGGCUGCUUAUAAGUUGCGUGGCAUCUUGUUCCAAUCUCUGGGCACUUAUUAUGGAUGCUGGAACUGGUUUUACAAGUCAAGUUUAUGAGCUGUCACCUUUCUUCUUACACAAGGAAUGGAUCAUGGAACAAUGGGAAAAGAACUACUACAUCAGUUCUAUAGCCGGUGCCAACAAUGGGAGCUCCCUCGUGGUUAUGUCAAAAGGCACCCAAUACACUCAGCAGUCUUACAAAGUGAGUGAUUCAUUCCCCUUCAAGUGGAUAAACAAGAAGUGGAGAGAAGGGUUCCAUGUGACUUCAAUGGCAACUGCUGGGAGCCGGUGGGGUGUUGUCAUGUCUCGCAAUGCUGGCUUCAGUGAUCAGGUUGUGGAGCUUGAUUUUCUCUAUCCAAGUGAAGGCAUCCAUAGGCGUUGGGACGGUGGUUACCGAAUUACAUCAACAGCUGCCACUUGGGAUCAAGCUGCUCUCAUUUUGAGUGUUCCCAGGCGCAAACCUGGUGAUGAAACUCAGGAGACUUUACGGACAUCCCAAUUUCCAAGCACCCAUGUUAAGGAAAAGUGGCAAAAGAAUCUCUAUCUUGCUUGUUUGUGUUAUGGGCGGACUGUAUCUUGAUUCCCGUGUAAUUGCAAGGAAUUUUAUGUCAAAAGAAAGUAAGAUUUUGGUUUUUUGGUAUCAUUAUGUAGUAGUAUUUCAUUUCAAUUGUAAACAACGAUUGAGGAGCUUAGUUGCUGCAGCAGACCUGUGCUCCUAUGUAUGAUAAAUUUGUAUCAAACCUGUACGUUUACUUUCUGUUUA